GUCCUGGUCGAUUAGUGGUCAAAUCAUCUCGUUGUGGUGAAGAUAAUAUCUGCUAUUCGCUCCGAGAAGCCGAGGGCUCGACUCCCUCCCGGGACA